rnacentral:rRNA from 1 species
CCUACGGGUGGCAGCAGUGGGGAAUAUUGGACAAUGGGCGAAAGCCUGAUCCAGCCAUGCCGCGUGUGUGAAGAAGGCCUUCGGGUUGUAAAGCACUUUCAGUGGGGAAGAAAGCCUUGGGGCUAAUACCCUCGAGGAAGGACAUCACCCACAGAAGAAGCACCGGCUAACUCCGUGCCAGCAGCCGCGGUAAUACGGAGGGUGCGAGCGUUAAUCGGAAUUACUGGGCGUAAAGCGCGCGUAGGCGGUCUGAUAAGCCGGUUGUGAAAGCCCCGGGCUCAACCUGGGAACGGCAUCCGGAACUGUCAGGCUAGAGUGUAGGAGAGGAAGGUAGAAUUCCCGGUGUAGCGGUGAAAUGCGUAGAGAUCGGGAGGAAUACCAGUGGCGAAGGCGGUCUUCUGGACUGACACUGACGCUGAGGUGCGAAAGCGUGGGUAGCAAACAGGAUUAGAUACCCCGGUAGUC